AUCUACGGCCAUACCACCCUGAACGCACCCAAUCUUGUCUGAUCUCAGAAGCUAAGCAGGGUCGGACCUGGUUAGUACUUGGAUGGGAGAUUCUCAAUUUUCUCAUCUGUAAAAUGGAAAUAUAAAAA
rnacentral:rRNA from 1 species